CCUACGGGCGGCAGCAGUGGGGAAUAUUGGACAAUGGGCGAAAGCCUGAUCCAGCCAUGCCGCGUGUGUGAAGAAGGCCUUCGGGUUGUAAAGCACUUUCAGUGGGGAAGAAAGCCUUGGGGCUAAUACCCUCGAGGAAGGACAUCACCCACAGAAGAAGCACCGGCUAACUCCGUGCCAGCAGCCGCGGUAAUACGGAGGGUGCGAGCGUUAAUCGGAAUUACUGGGCGUAAAGCGCGCGUAGGCGGUCUGAUAAGCCGGUUGUGAAAGCCCCGGGCUCAACCUGGGAACGGCAUCCGGAACUGUCAGGCUAGGGUGCAGGAGAGGAAGGUAGAAUUCCCGGUGUAGCGGUGAAAUGCGUAGAGAUCGGGAGGAAUACCAGUGGCGAAGGCGGCCUUCUGGACUUACACUGACGCUGAGGUGCGAAAGCGUGGGUAGCAAACAGGAUUAGAUACCCCGGUAGUC
rnacentral:rRNA from 1 species